CAUUUUUGAGAGAGACACAGGGUGUGAGUAGGGAGGGGCAGAGAGAGAGGGAGACACAGAAUCCGAAGCAGCUCCAGACUCCAAGCUGUCCACACAGAGCCCGACGCAGGGCUCAAACUCAAGGACCGUGAGAUGAUGACCUGAGCCGAAGUCAGAUGCUCAACCGACUGAGCCACCCAGGCACCCCACAUUAUACUUUUUCCCCAGGACCAUGGCUACUGAAUCAGGUGGCAAAUGGUACUAAGUUCAUUAGCUACUUAAACACAAGAACUCGUAUUGUUUUUGUAGAGGUCAGGUUUAUUGCUGUGCUUUUGAUAAAUGUUUUUUAAUAUAAAAGGAUGUUUGGGGCCAAAGCUGACCCAGCUGCCUGGUGAAGUAUGGUCUAUGUUCCAAGGGAACAUUUAUGGAAAACAUGAUUAGUUUUGGACAUAUUUUGCUCCUCACAUGAAAAAAAGAAAGUAAUUAACCUUUAUUGUUCAUACCAUUUCAUUUUAGAAUGCCAGUGUAUAUGAAAUUGGAUAUGUGUAUAUAUAAUUAAGCUAGCAGCUAAGGUUUCCAUUUUCAAAAUUAAGAUUUUAGCAGUAGCAGAAAGAAAUUAGUUUUGACUCUUUCACUUUACUUAGCAGUGAGACCUAUGUUUAUUAUUUUUAAAAAGGAAAGCACUGCUGGCCUUAAUUUCUCAGAAAAUUUCCUCCAGGCAACCGAGGGCAAAGAAAAAAUUCAAUACAUUUUGGUGCCUGAUUAUGUUCAGUUAUAGUCUUUAUUAUGCACUGCCCUCCUUGAGGUGUGUCUGUGCCAUAAUGGAACUUAAAAGUCAUACAUAAUUCAUACUUCUUAAAUGAACGUUGCCUCUUCAUAGUAGUCACAUUAGGAAUCUAGGCACAUUCUGAAGAUGGUGGUUUUCAAAGUUUUCUUUUUUAAUUUGCUUUUCAAUUCCUACGGCAAGUUCUUUUGAAUAUUCUCAGUUGUAGUAGAUCUUUGUUCUUUGAGGAGGAUGAUUUGAUUCUUGGAAACAGACAGGAAUAAAACAGUUAGGAAGCAUUCUCUGUGUUUUGAAUUAAGGUACAUGAUCAAGCCUUCUUGAUUACUUUCUUUUUUUAACUUUUUAAUAGAAAAUAUGAAUCAGAGAUUUGAAAUGAGCCAGUUAGUCCUUGAGCUCUUUACAUUACAUAUACUCUUAAAUUUCAGACUUUCUUUAUGAUGACUCUGAUUAAUUUAUGUACUCGUGAAAUUUGGCAGGCUACAGUUAUUUUUAAGUCAGCAAUGUCCUCAGUUGUCAUUUUGAUGAACCAGCUUGGUCUUGAUAUUUUUAACCCUAGAAAAUUUUGUGUUUUCUUUCUAUGUAAUGCUCAAAAAUCCUGUUUCACCACUGGCUAUUUUUAAGCUCUCUGUGAAAGAUGACAAUAAAUGUCAUGUCCUUUAUUCACUGAAAAUCAAUGGGCUAAUUUUUUAAAAAGUUUCUCUAUGUGUAAGUUUCCUUUCAGAAGGAGUCUAUAUACUUCUAAUUCCUCAGCCAUGAUUUCUUUCUGGAACAGAACCAGGUAUCUGACUUUGCUCUGUAAACAUUUUACCUCUUCUUUAGGGUGCAUGUGUGACUGUCUUACGCAUCAUUAUUAUUGUCUGCCCAGUUAAAACCUUGCUCUUAACUUUGCUUCACUGUUUUCAUGUUACUGUUAUUAAUUUGCUUGUCAAUAGUAACUCUACUGAAAAUUUUAUAUUAGCUCUUACUCAUUUUUAUGCCAAUAUAAAACAUACUAAGGUCCUAUCCUACUUUUUCUGUAUUUUCAUUGCUAUUCCAUACAUGACUCUUCAUUAUUCAUUCAUUAGGCACGCCCUAAUCCCUUCUCCAUAGGAAUUCAACAUACAUAGGUAUUUAAUAUUCAGUGUAUUUAAUGUAUAUUCUUCCAGUAUACUAAAUGCCUGGCUUAAUUUUGUUUUUUGGUAUUAUCCUAGAAAUCUUGUUCUCUAACUUUUCCCCUUAAUAUUAGCUUGUUAUAUGCACCUUUAAUUAUUUUAACUGUAUUUUAUACUAACAUUUAUAUAAUACAUUUAAUAUAUUCAUUUUUCUCCUAGUGAAUCUAGAUACCUCUCAACUCUGAGCUUUUGUAGAUAGUUCUACAAUGAGCAUCCUCUUACAUAUCUCCAUAUGAACCUCUCUGAGGGUAACUCUGGGGUAUGUCCCCAGGCAUGGGAUUUCAGGGUUCUAGGAUAUUAUUUAAUAUUGUACUAUUUGACCAGGUCUUUUCAGAUUAUUCUCAAAAGUGGCGUCAUCCAUUUUCAUUCUAAGUAUUUGUGUAUAAAGGUUCCCAUUCCUAACUCCCCUUACCCCAACACUGUAUAUUUUACAACUUUAUACCGUGUGGCAAUCUGGUGGGUGGAUAUUGUUAUCUAGUAUUUUGGAUCUGCCUUACUCUGAUUAUUAAACAUAUUAGCAAUUGAGAAUUACUUUUCCAUCUAUAUCCAUCCAUAUGCUUUACCCAUUUCUUUCUUUCUUGGUUUUCCUGGCUUUUCUGGCUGAUAUGAGGGUAUAUCUUAUGUGUUACUUGUAUCAAUUCCUUUCAGUCUAAUCCAAGUGAAGAAAAUAUCUAAUCCAUGUCUGUCACCUACCUGUUACCUCUUUGUGGAUGUAGUCAAAAUUUUUUUUCUUCAUAAUUUCUGCAUUUUAGAUCUUUAAGAUGUUCUGUUUUACACUGAAAUCACAGAUGUAUUCAUGUUCCUAUUAGUUUAUAGCUUGGUCUUACACAUGUAGGGUUUACGUUAUUUUGGAUUUUUUUAUGAUGUAAAAUAGAACUCUUUGGGCUUCCUGGAGUUUCAUAUCUUUUUUUUUUCCCAGGUCAGGGAAGUUUUCAACCAUUAUGUAUUUGAAUAAUUUUUUUUCUCCUCUCUUCCCCUCUCAUUUUGGAUCCCUAGGAUGCAUAUAUUGAUAUACUUGAUGGUGUUCUGUAGUCCCUAUCUUCACUCUUUUUUAUUCUUUUUUCACUCCUAGUUGCAUAAAAUUCACUGUCCUGUCUUUUGAGUUCUCUGAUCCUUUCUUUCAGUUGAUCUAGUUUCAUUGUUGAAUCCCUCUGAAUUUUUCAGUUUACUUAUUGUGUUCUUCAGCUCUCUUGUUUCUGUUUGAUACUUAUUUAUGUUUUCUGUCUCUUUGUUGAAAUUCUUACUUGGUUCAUACAUUGCUUUCCUGACCUCAUUGAAUCUCUUUAUUACCAUUAUUUUGAAAUCUCUAUUGGGAAAUCACAUAUCUCCAUUUUAUUAAUAUCAGUUUCUGGCAAUGUUUCUUGUUCUUUUGUUUGGAAUAUAUUUCUGUUCCUUCAUUUUCCUUGAUACUCUGUUUUGGUUGUUGAACAUUAGAUAAAACAGUCACUUCUUCUAGUCUUGGCAGAAUGGUCUCAUAUAAGAGAUAUAGUUCACUGAUCAUCCCAGCAUGAGGGUCUUGCUUCCUUUCAAAUCUUUUUGAUUGUCCAAACCAUCAUCAUUGUUCUUAGUGUCUCCCAGUAGUUGAAGCUGUGCCAAGACUUGUCAUUGUCCCAAAGAGAGGAUGGCAGUAAGCACCUAGAUGCAGGCUGACUCUAGGCCCUGAAGCAGCAGCUGAUAAUGUUGUCAGACUCCUUCCAGGGAAAGACUGGGAGUGGUCAUUUUUGCCCACUCUUUCUAUGCUGCACCCUGGGAGGACAGCCAAGGCAAAUGCUCAUGCAUUCAUUAACAACUGAUUCUUGUUGGCUGUAGUCAUGUGGGACUUGUGAAUGCAAGCGCAGUUGCCCUUCAGAGCUAGGCCAUUUGGAGGUGUGUCACCUGGGUGGCAUCCUUAAAAGUUGGGGCGCUAGAUGUGUGGUCCACACUCUUUGCUUCUCAAGGAGAAGCUGGGAGCUGAGGGUUCCUCCUUAAUUGUAUGGUUUCUGUGUCAGGGGAGGAGUUUAUGGUGAAAGUGUUUUCCAGCCUUUCCUAUUUUGAUGUUGGUAUUUUCUCAUUCACCUGUUGUGUAGGAGGCAUUCAGCUUGUUGUUAGAUUUCUCUCAAAGGAAAUUGCUCUAUUUGUAGCUAUACAUUUGGUAUGUCCAUGAGAGGAGGGCAGUUCAGACCAGUUCUUGGUCUGGACUCCUGUACUACGACAUUCUUGCUCUAGAAUAUUGGUUCAGCUGUCCGUACAUCUUUUUAGGUAAAAACUUGUCCAAAUAUUAUGCCCUUAUUUUAUUACAUUGUAUAAGUUGUAUUAAGAGUUUUUAUAUGUUCCUGAUCAGCGAUAAGGCCAUUUCUCAAGGUCAUAUUUGCAGAAAACAACCUUAAGAGAUAGGUCAACACUUUUCCACUAGAUAGCAAGCAAGCUUGAUCCCACAUCUUUAAAAUUAUGUUUACCUCCUAUAAGGUAACCCCAUGCAUGUGCAGGCAUUCAUAUGGAUACUUGUCUUGUGCCCAACAUACGUAAAGGUUGAGGGAGAGCCAUUGCCAACUAUAUGAUAUUCAUGCUCUGGCUUCAGUAAAGUCCUGUAUCUCUGACCCAGGAGUCUGUGUCUUCUGCUGUGGCAUCCACGAAAACAAAAAUAGGCUACCUUUUAGCAUACAAGUAGGGUAAAAUCUUAGACCCUUCACAGAUCCUAACAGGACAUGAUUCACUUACUUGGAGUUAGUAUGAUCCUUUCGAGGCAUGCUUUAAAGCUUUGUCAGGGCAGUUCCAGAACUAGUUUCAAUCUUGUUCCACUACUGAGGCAGUACCUAGCUAAGGACUUUACUCAGUGCCUUUGUGUGUCCAUUCUUUCUGGUGGGUACAGAAACUAUUCUUGGCUCCAUGUAAGCUUUGGGAGCUCACCUGCUCAUUUGGUGGUUCUUUGUCUAGCCUCCGUAUUUUCUUCACACACAUGCACCAAGCUUUACUCAGCAAAGAUUCUGGAAGGAUCGAUGCAGACCUCUGGACACCCUCCCUCUGUGCCAUCCUCCUUUUCAGUCCUUUGAGUUCCCUCUCCGUGGGCUACAACCUGAAAACUAGGUGUGGCUAUUUAUGCAGCUUUGCCCAUUGUCUCCUCUUCUCUCAGAGUUCUCUGACCUGUGCUGCUUAUUGUCCAAAGUCUGAGAAACCCUGUUUCUUACAUUUCACCUGAUUUUCUGCUUGUUUAAGGUAUCAAGGUAAAUUCCAUACCUGUGACUCCACCAUUGUUGUAGGCAGACAGCCCGUUUCUUAAUUCCUCAUGUAGAUUGCUUAGCUUGUCUGUUUUCAUUCUUUCAUUUAAUGUGAAAAACCUAUUCAGAGCUCUGCGUUUCACCCUACUGCCUCAGAUGCAUCUCACACAGCCUUUGACAUGUAGAACUUUCUGUAGUUCAGCUUUUAGUGUUCUUCAAUUUGUCUUGUUACUUCCACUUCAUUUAACUAUGAAUUCAUUUAACUAUUUAGUUUACUGACCUUUUUAUUAUUAUUACUGAUGUGAAGUUUUACUGAUUUUUAUGUAGAGAUUAUGGUGCAUAGGUUGAUUUUUUGGAAUUUGUUGAGAUGUCCUUUGUAGUCUAAUACAUAAAACAUCCAUACAUUCUUGAAAAAGUGAGCAUUCACUAUAUGUUUAUAAAGCUUAUAUAAUAUAUAUUUAGAUUGUGGUUGUUAAUGGUGUAAUUCACAUUUACUAUGUAUUUGUUUAUAUUUCCAGUCAGUCCAUUUCAAAGAGAGUUGUAUCAAAAUUUCUAAGGAAAGAUUGUACCUGUUUCUCAUCAUAGUAAUGUCAGUGGCUAUAUACUAGGUGGAUAUAUAUUUAUGAACAUUAUAUCUUAUGGAUAUUAUUAUAUAUCAUCUAUAUUUAUAUAUUGCUUUUUAUGAGCAAAUUAUGUAUCUUUUUAAAUUGCUUGCUCUAAUAUUUAAUAUUUAAUUUUUCUUUUGGUUAACAUUUACCUCAUAUAUAUUUUUCCCCAUCUCCUCCACCUAUCCUUUUUGUUUUUUGUGGACUAUUUAAUGCUAGAUAUUUUGUAAAUCAGAUCUGAGUCUGUCAGUCACUGAAUUUGACAAACAUAUUCUUACUGUACUUGUUGUUUGUAGGCUUUAUUUCUACCAUUCUUUUAAACUGAAGUAUAGUUGACACACAAUGUUAUGUUAGUUUCUGGUGCACAACAUGGUGAUUCAACAACUCUAUACAUUAUGCUGUGCUCACCACAAGUAUAGCUACCAUCUGUCAUCAUACAACACUAUUAUAGUACCAUUGACUGUAUUCCGUGUGCUGGGUUCCUUUCAUCCUUGUGACUUAUUCAUCACCACUUAUUUCUGCCAUCUUGUUUCAUGUUGUUAUUCAUCAUGCUCCUGUUUUUUCUCCUCUCCUGCUUUCUGUUAUUUACAACUCCGGCUUUAUUCUUUUUCUUUGAAAAGUACAAGUUCUGUCUUUUUUUCCUUUUGACUGAUAUCGCUAAUUUGUUAAGAUUGAUUCUAUUCAUUUUUCCCUUCUAAUAUGUAAACCUUAGUAUCUUGGUCUUCCCCCUCUCUAAUAAUCUUUUCAGUCUUUGAACUCACCUCUCUACUAUGACCUCCCUUCUUUUCAUGUUGGCAUCAUCUGGAAUUUUUGUUCUAUAUUUUUUAUUCUUAUUCAUGUAACAAUAAAUUUGCCAAGUUAUUACUUGCCAUUGAUUUCCUUGUUUGGUCUGGAAUUCAUUUCUCUUCUUGUUGGAAUACAUCCUGCAAGAUAUUUUUCAAAGAGGAUCUGUCAUUUUGUGGUACAUUUUGAGACUGGUACCUCUUCUUAGGCUGUGCAUCUGUGGACACACCCAGAAACACUUCCAUUUUUCUUCACUCUUUCAUUCAGCAGCUGCUCAGUGGUUACCUUUUAUGUACCAGGUAUGACCCUAGGUCUGAGGAAGGAAAACCAACAAAAAUCUCUGCCCUCUGGAGUUUAUAGAGGGUGCAGAAGAGAGCAGCAGAGAACGCUUAGGCCUGAAUCCAAUCUUUAGUAGAUCUGAGUUCCAGCAGAAUUCCAGAGCUGCCAUGAUGUUACCUUGUUAUUUCUGGACGGUUCUCAGCAGGAGGGGCAGCUUUUUUAUCACAUCAUGAUGACUGGGCAAGUGAUGUUUUAAUCAGGGAAUUCUGGGAGAAAAAAAAAGCCCAGCUAGUGAGCCCUUCCCAGUCCAUCUCCUUUCUGUGGGCUAUUGAUUCUGCCUCUUUAUAUUUGAUGUUUGCCAUCCACUUUAGGAUAACUUCUUCCUGCUCCCCUGGGGUUUCUUGUCUGUUGAUGUUUUUGUUGUUAUAGUUGUUGUUUGUAUUUGCUAAUAAGUAAGGUUCUGAAAACCACCAAGACUCAGUAUUAUCUGUAGUACCUCUGGGAUUUUGUAGCAAAAGGAGUCCAGCACCCUGUGGUAGUUCUUCAUCUUGUCCAAAAUUGGUAGUCCUAGUACAACGAAUUAUUAUUUAUUAUUAUUAAUUACCAUUAUUAUGGGAGGAAGAUGCAAAUGACAGUCAAGGCUAAGAGAGUUUUCACAGAUGCUGAUCAAACAUAUCCUUAAUUUGAAAGAGAAAAAUUAUGAAAUUUAAUUAUGUAUUUUGACCGAGCCUAGAAGUUAUCAGAACCUUGGGGAAGUUUUAUCUGCUUAACACCUUAGGGAAGUUAACCAUGUGGGGAGAAGCUGAGGCUCUCUGAGUGGCCCUCUCUCCAUGGUUCCAGGAGGCUGGACCAGCUCCUCCUGCCAGCUCAUCACAGGAGUCAGGAAUGAGUGAGCACCCUGUGGUCAGAGUGUCAGUAGCAGCCUUAAAUUUUCGAAGAAGCAGAGGCAGCUGCGUGUGACUAAACUGUGUUGUCCAUCUGCCAGCAACCUGGCACUGUGUCUUUCUUACCCUAAAUCAUUUACUACUCCUACCUGUGAAGUCCUAAUUUUUGGACACACCCUCACUGCCCUUGACUUUUUUUUUUUUUUUAAUUUUUAGGCAAAGGAUUUAAUUUUGGAUUUCAUCUUAGUUUAUGGCUCAGUAAUUUCCUUGAUAUUCAGAAACCUGUUUCUGGGAAGGAUGCCAACACUGCAGAAGGCAGUGGAAAUGGACCUUUGUCUAAAAGUAACCAGAAAAAAAAGAAAAAAGCAAUGUAAAUUUUUGGUACUGAUUUUACAUUGAAAAACAAUAUGAGUUGGAGGCCGGAGCAAAUGCCAAGAAAGUGUGAAGGCUGUAGAAAAUCCCCCUUUUAUAAUUCCACUUGUACUUUUUUCUUUUGCUCCCUCAUUUGUAUUAAAUGUGAUUAUAAUAGAGGACAACAGGAUGAGGUAAUUGUAUCCUAGAACAACAAAACAGGUUGCGUACCUAAAACAAUAGUUAUAUUUAGUGACCUAACAAAGUCAUUGACGUUAGAAUAAUGUCAAUAAGUGAAAGAAAGCAUUAGGACAAUGGUGAUGUUCUAAUGUAAAUUAAAAAAAAAACGGGCAUUAAUAAAAGACAGUUUUAUUGUUAUUUUAAGCUAAAUUUAGUCACGAUGAGAAUGCCCCUGCCAAGGUGAGGUUUUGAACAUAAGCACUCUGCCAUGCACUCUAGCCAUCUAGUAGGAGCACAUAAUAGAAAACGGUUCAUCUUAAGCUAAUGAAAUGCCAAUUGUGAUUAAAAUUAAAAAUUUGGGGCAUGUUCUUCUUCCUUUAGCUAAACUAAUUAAACCACACACACACAUAACUCUCUCCCUCCCCCUCCCUCCUUCACCCCUUCCCCCACCCCCUCAGGCUCACACACACUAACAUAUAAACCCACUAGGUUGUAGUAGAAACUGUUUUUCCUGUCAGAGAGUCUUCGUGAAUCAUAAUUUGUUGAACUGAGAAUCUGAGUCCUGCAGCUGUCAGACGUGUUCUGUGGGUUCCCAGGGUUGUUGAUUUCCUCUGCCAUAGCAGAUGGAGUGCAAGAGAACAGAAGAGAAUAUCCAUUUAACUAACAGGAGGCAGGCAUAUUAGUAUUCUAAAUGUAUUCGUGUAUUAAAGACAGACACUGGCUAUGUCUGAAAAAAGUACCACAGAGUUAUCAAAAUAUCAUCGAUAACACAUUGGUAGUUUGACAGUGGUUAUAUCCUUUUAAAAAAUCACUUGAGGUUUAUCCUGGUAUUAACUAUACCAUAUAGGUGGGUAGAGCAUAAAUACAUAGUGUACCUACUAAAAGACAUUUGCUUCAAAGAAAUGGUUGAAUUAUAAAAAUGCAGAUAUAUUUAUUACAGUGCAGCAAUUAUUAAAAGAUAUUUAAAAAUUAUAAUAUCACUAGGAUUGCUAAUAUGUUUGAAAUUUAAUUAUUCAAGAAGGAAAUUUAUUUGCAUAUUACACAGUAGACAGUACUGCACAAAAAGGCAGGUAACCAGGUCCUAGUCCCUUUUCUAAGAUCUCUAAAGCACAUCUCUUAAAAAGGAAGAAAUAGUACCAUAACUACUGCAGACAGAGGAAGGUCAGAAUUCCUUCCUUCCCUUUCCCCCCAUUUUUUUUUUUGUGGUAAAGGCCAGAGUUCAAUUUAACUUGCCUUUUAUUUCAAACAUCAAUGACUUGUUUGUUACUGUAACCUGGGGUCAUAAAAAGGGAGGAAGGAAAAAACUAUACAUUUAUGGAUUCCCUGUAUAUCUAGGGAGCCACUUUCUAUGUUAUUUACCCUCAUUCUCCCCGUCUCCCCCCACAAAAUGAAAGAGAAAUAAGAGAACUGAUAUUCAUUGAGUACCCACGUGGGUACAUUACCUAUAUUUUUUGCAUUUACUUCCCAAUGAAAUUCCAUAAGUACAUUUUCUUGCCACCAUUUCAACAAUUUAGACUCAGAUUAAAUAAAUUACCCAACACAACACAGUUAAAGAUGGAGCCUGAAUUUAAAAUUAGGCCUCCUUUAAAUUUUUUUUAAUGUUUAUUUAUUUAUUUUUGAGAGAGAGAGAGAGUGCGUGCGAGCAGGUUAGGGGCAGAGAGAGCGGGAGACAGAGGAUCCAAAGCAGGCUCUGUGCUGACAGCAGUGAGUUCGAUGGAGGGCUUGAACUCACAAACCAGGAGGAGAUCAUGCCCUGAGCCGAAGUCACUUAACUGACUGAGCCACCCAGGUGACCCUUCAAUCCUCCUUGACCACCUUGACUUCACAGCUGAAGCACUUCAAACUCACCUUCUAAAUAUUCAUUGUUUCUUAUCUUCAAAUCUUUAUUUCUACACAAAGACUUGAAUUUAUUCAUAGAGUCUACGUUGUGUUUUGAUUUUUUGUUUUGGGAGGGUUUUGACUACUUUGGAUGUGUUUAUAUCAAUGUCUCUAAGUAUGUCAUGAGUAUUCAGCAAUAUCGUGGCAAUAAAUUAAAGCUUAAGACUUCCUUCUGAAAUAUUCAUGGUAGGCAAAACAAAAAGUAUGGAAUCCAAAAAAUUGAAUGGUGACUUUUUUUUUGCCACAUUAUUGACAGAUGCAAGCUGUUCACAUUUUGUUAUUGGGUAAAUUUGUUAGUCCUGUUGUAAAUGCCAUCCUUCUCAUCUUGCAAAGCUAAUUUCAGAAAAGAAAAGCAUUUUUAAAAUAGAAUUUGGUAAUUAGAAGAGACUUAUCAAGGAAUCGCAUGGUUGGAAUUUUUAUAUGUUUGGACCUCACAGCAGUAUAUGACAGAAAGGUUUUAGUAAUUUUUAUUUGAAAAUGGAUGAAUACAAACUAUUAAUUUUCUUAUGUUACACUGUAUCCUAGUAGUUUCUAAACAUGGGAAAUAUAUGUAUAUCAGAGAUUACCUGUGAGCCUUACUUGUUCCUACCCCUAUGGGUAACCUCUUUUUGAAUAUAAUAAAAUUAACAUUUUUUUGUUUAGUUUUUUGAAAGUUGGUUGGAAAUACAGAUUCCCAGGGAAGGCAAGAGCACCUGGGCUGGAGUAGAUGCAGAUUCAGUGGAGAAAGAAUCACAUGUAAAAGAGAAAUUAUUCUCAGGACAAGUGUCCAGUCCACAUACUUUUCAGACCUUAAGAGCUUUCUGUUUCACAGGCAAGAGGGCUUUCUAUAGAAGGGUGAUUAGUGAGACGGGUCUGAUUCUAUUUCCAAGAUAAUGUGUGGGGGAUAUAUAACCAUAGUACUCAACACUGGUCACUUAAGACACUUUCCUGUUAAAAUAUUACUCCCAAUUGUGGACAGGUUCUAUCCUAUUAGUGGUAUUUAUCAGGUACAUUAUGGAUUUAUUAGAGUGUUGUGAGAGCCCUGGACCUCCAGCUUCCUUUUUUCUUUUUUUUGUUAAAAAAAAAUUUUUUUUAAUGUUUAUUAUUGGGAGAGAGACAGAGACAGAGCGCAAGCAGUUAAGAGCAGAGAGAGAGAGGGAGACACAGAAUCUGAAGCAGGUCCCAGGCUCUGAGCUGUCAACACAGAGCUCCACAUGGAGGUUGAACUCACGAGCCUUGAGAUUAUGGCCUGAGCUGAAUUUGGACGCUGAACUGACUAAGCCCCCAGCUUCCUUUUUUCUAUGGGGAAAUUCACACCGAGUGCCACCAUUAAAUUUUUGGAAUCUUAAAAAGUAGCUUGUAAAGUCAGUGAACAAAAAUUUCAUUCCUCAAUUGAGACAUUAAAUAAGGAAAUCAGCAUAUACAAUUUAAGUUUGCUCACUAGGUCUAUAAAUAAUACAUGUGUGUUCUCUUUUAUUGUUUUGUAUAUUGAUGGAUUUUUAUGACUAUAUAAAUAUUUGAAAGACUAAAUACAUACCCUUACUUAAUAAAAACCAAUAAAAUAGAAUGGCUUUCCUAUUUAGAAGGUUUAUGUAUUACUUUAAUUACAAAAAAAAUAAAAGAAAUUGUAGAGGAAUACUAAAUGCAAUAAAAACAACCAGUUGAGCAUUAAUAUGAUAGCAUAUCAAUAUAGUAAACCUCUAUUCAUUUACCUUGAUUUAGGUGUUAAUUUGCUCAGUUUCUUCCUGUAGUCAGUUCAUUUUAUACAGUGAAAGAAAUCUAAAUGAGACAAAAAUCAAGGCAUUUUACUCCCUAACAGAUGUUGCAAAACAAAUUUUAUCUACUUUGUCUUCCCUCAUAAUUGUUUCACCGACUUUUGUACUUCAGGGGAAGAGGGGAAAACAUCAUUGCAGUCAUCUCCAUAUCAUGAACCUCUGUGAAAAAAAUCACAGAACACAUAGGAACUCCCUACAUUUUAGUAGCUGUCACUUGUAUAAGAAUUUUAGUAAUUGAUUUAAUAUUUUCUUGGCCUGAAUAAUGCAACUGAAAUUCCAUGCCACCACCCCAUCCUCAUUCUCUUGGUUGCUCGGCAACAUAGAACAAAGCAGAGACCCAACAGAACAAAAAAGCAGGUUUAACUGUCACAGAAAUGAAACGUUUUCUUUCAGAUCAGAGGAAACGCCAGAAAUUAUCUGUUGAUAUAUAUAUCUAAUAUGUGUAGACAACAUUUCACAGAUGUUGUCACAACUCUGUGCUGAAGAAAUUAAGUGCAUCCUGUGUAACUCCGCUGGUAGACUCUUGGAAGCAUAUGCAUGGUUUCCUACAGACUUCAUACUGAGAGAGCCUUUUCCUGGACUGACUUUAUUUUGAGUCCUUCUGCUGUAAUAUGUAACCAUCAUAAAUACAACAACUUCUGUAUCCUGUGAGACCCUCUCGUGAAUCACUGAGACUGAGGGUUGGUCGUGGGCACUCCCAACAAAGGCAGAAUCUGAAUUUCAAACCACUGUGUAGCAGCACAGAAUUUGAUGGAGAGCAGUAGCUUCUCUGUUGUUCUUAAGUCCACAUAUGAGACUCCAAGAGCUUUUGGUCCAGUUUGAAAUGUCUCUUCUUCACUCCUCCUGACAGUUAUAAGAGGCAUCCAAUCUACUCUGCUUUUCCCACCUCCCCACCUAUUGGUUUUGAGUGAUGGGAAAGUCAAGCUAAAUGUGAAUUUAUUGAUCCCCAUAACUCAACAAUCUUGGGAUAGAGCUUGCUUCAGUUUGAGGCUCAGCUCCAAUGAUGCAUCCAUUUCUGGGUUCUGCUGCUGCUUUGCAGAUUACCUUCUCCAGCCAGCUCUUUGCUUAUUGACACAAGGUGGCUGUUGCAACUCCAGUGUCAGAUUCUUUCUUGGAACAAGAAAAAGCCAAAGGUGAAAGUUAAAGCUCAUGAAUGCAGUUUUUGUUAUGUGCCCACAUGAACCACAUGCUCAGCACUCCCCCGACCACCACCCAAGGAGUCGGCAUGAGCCUCCCCUACCCCUAAAAAAAUCAGGACAAAGAAUAUUUUCCAGAAGCGGAGUGAGUAGAUACUGAGAGGCCACAAUCACAAUCAGUGUUUACUAGCUCUACCAUCCCCACCACUUAAAGAUCAUUGAUCUCUCAGAUACAGAAAAAGCAUUUGACAAAAUUCAACGUUUAUUCAUGGUAAAAACUUGCAACAAAAGGGUAUAGAAGGAAUGUAUUCAGUAUAACAAAGGCCAUGUAUAACAAGCCUCCAGCUGAUAUAGUCAAUGGUGAAAAGUUGAAAGCUUUUCCUCUAAGAUCAGGAAAAAAAAAUGCCUCCUCUCAACACUUGGAUUCAACAUAAUUAAUACUAGAAGUCCUAACCAGAGCAGUCAGUCAGGCAA